GAACUAGAAAAUAAAGAAAAGAAGCUAAAGAAUUUAGAAGAUUCUCUUGAAGACUAUAACAGAAAAUUUGCAGUAAUUCGUCAUCAACAAAGCUUAUUAUAUAAAGAAUAUCUGAGUGAAAAGGAGAACUGGAAAACAGAAUCUGAAACAAUAAAAGAAGAAAAGAGAAAACUUGAGGAUCAAAUCCAACAAGAUGCUAUAAAAGUAAAAGAAUAUAAUGUAAGUAAAAUACUUUUAAAAUCGGUAUACAAGGCUGGGGAUUUAGCUCAGUGGCACUGCACCUGCCUCGCAAGCACAAGGUCCUGAGUUCGAUCCCCAGUACCAAAAAAAAAAUCCGUAUACAAUAGCAAAUAAACUAGAAUAGCUAGGCUCAAUAAGUAACAUCAACAUGUUUUUGCAGAAUUUGCUCAAUGCUCUUCAGAUGGAUUCAGAUGAAAUGAAAAAAACACUUUCAGAAAAUAGUAGAAAAAUCACUGUCUUGCAAGUUAAUGAAAAGUCACUUAUAAGGCAAUAUACAACCUUAGUAGAAAUGGAACAACAACUUAGAAAAGAAAAUGGGAAACAAAAGAAUGACUUGAUGUCAAUGGAGGCUGAAGUCUGUGAAAAAAUUGGAUGUUUACAAAGAUUUAAGGAAAUGGCCAUUUUCAAGAUUGCAGCUCUCCAAAAAGUUAUAGAUAAUAGUGUUUCUUUGUCUGAACUAGAACUGGCCAAUAAACAAUAUAAUGAACUGACCGCUAAGUACAGGGACAUCUUGCAAAAAGAUAAUAUGCUUGUUCAAAGAACAAAUAACUUGGAACACCUAGAGUGUGAAAAUGUGUCCUUAAAAGAACAAAUUGAUUCUAUAAAUAAAGAACUGGAGAUUACCAAGGAAAAACUUCAUACUAUUGAACAAGCCUGGGAACAAGAUACUAAAUUAAGAAAUGAAUCUAACAUGGAUAAGGCAAAGAAAUCAAUAACCAACAGUGACAUUGUUUCUAUUUCAAAAAAAAUCACUAUGUUGGAAAUGAAGGAAUUAAAUGAAAGGCAGCGGGCUGAACAUUGUCAAAAAAUGUGUGAACACUUAAGGACUUCAUUAAAGCAAAUGGAAGAACGUAAUUUUGAAUUGGAAACCAAAUUUGCUGAGCUUACCAAAAUCAACUUGGAUGCACAGAAGGUGGAACAAAUGCUAAGGGAUGAAUUAGCUGACAGCGUGAGCAAGCCAGUGAGUGAUGCUGAUAGGCAACGAAUUCUAGAAUUAGAGAAGAGUGAAAUGGAACUGAAAGUUGAAGUGUCAAAACUGAGAGAGAUUUCUGAUAUUGCCAAAAGACAAGUUGAAAUUUUGAAUACACAGCAACAAUCCAGGGAGAAGGAAGUAGAAUCACUGAGAAUGCAGCUGCUGGACUAUCAGGCACAAUCUGACGAAAAGGCACUGAUUGCCAAGUUGCAUCAGCACGUUGUCUCUCUUCAAGUUAGUGAGGCUGCUGCUCUUGGGAAGUUGGAGUCAGUAACAUCCAAGCUACAGAAGGUCGAGGCCUACAAUUUGCGCUUAGAGCAGAAACUUGACGAGAAAGAGCAGGCUCUCUAUUACGCUCGUUCAGAGGGGAGAAACAAAGCAAAACAUCUGCGCCAAACAAUUCAGUCUCUGCGAAGACAGUUUAGUGGUGCUUUACCCUUGGCACAACAGGAGAAAUUCUCUAAAACAAUGAUUCAACUGCAAAAUGACAAGCUGAAGAUAAUGCAAGAAAUGAAAAAUUCUCAGCAAGAAUAUAGAAAUAUGCAGAACAAAACAUUGGAAUUGGAAUUAAAGUUAAAGGGUCUAGAAGAGUUAACAAGCACGUUAAAGGACGCCAGGGGAGGGCAGAAGGUAAUCAAUUGGCAUAUGAAAAUAGAAGAACUUCGUCUUCAAGAGCUUAAACUAAAUCGAGAAUUAGUCAGAGAUAAAGAAGAAAUAAAAUAUUUAAAUAAUAUAAUAUCUGAAUAUGAACAUACAAUCAGCAACCUGGAAGAAGAAAUUGUUCAACAGAACAAGUUUCAUGAAGAACGACAAAUGGCCUGGGAUCAAAGAGAAGUUGAGCUGGAACGUCAACUCGAUAUUUUUGAGCAUCAGCAAAAUGAAAUAAUAAAUGCAGCACAAAAGUUUGAGGAAGCUACAGGAUCAAUGCCAGACCCUAGUCUGCCCCUUCCAAAUCAGCUGGAGAUUGCUCUAAGAAAACUCAAGGAGAAUAUUCGAGUCAUCCUAGAAACACAGGCAACUUGCAAAGCACUAGAAGAGAAGCUAAAAGAAAAAGAAUCUGCUUUACGGUUAGCAGAGCAAAAUAUUCUGUCAAGAGACAAAGUAAUCAGUGAACUGAGACUUCGAUUGCCUGCUGCUACAGAACGAGAAAAACUUAUAGCUGAACUAGGCAGAAAAGAGGUGGAACCAACAUCUCAUCAUGCAAUUAAAAUUGCUCAUCAAACCAUUGCAAACAUGCAAGCAAGGUUAAAUCAAAAGGAAGAGGUAUUAAAGAAAUACCAGCAUCUUCUAGAAAAAGCCAGAGAGGAGCAAAGAGAAAUUGUUAAGAAGCAUGAGGAAGAUCUUCAUAUUCUUCAUCAUAAAUUAGAACUACAGGCUGACAGUUCACUCAGUAAAUUCAAACAAACAGCUUGGGUAAGAUUCUAG
rnacentral:lncRNA from 1 species